UGGCGAACGGGUGAGUAACGCGUGAGGAACCUGCCUCAAAGAGGGGGACAACAGUUGGAAACGACUGCUAAUACCGCAUAAGCCCACGGUGCCGCAUGGCACAGAGGGAAAAGGAGCAAUCCGCUUUGAGAUGGCCUCGCGUCCGAUUAGCUAGUUGGUGAGGUAACGGCCCACCAAGGCAACGAUCGGUAGCCGGACUGAGAGGUUGAACGGCCACAUUGGGACUGAGACACGGCCCAGACUCCUACGGGGGCAUG
rnacentral:rRNA from 1 species